GCUCCCCUUACAAAUGAUGCAAAUCUAUUGCAUAGUUGUUAGCUCCCCUUACAAAUGAUGCAAAUCUAUUGCAUAGUUGUUAGCUCCCCUUACAAAUGAUGCAAAUCUAUUGCAUAGUUGUUAGCUCCCCUUACAAAUGAUACAAAUCUAAUGUCAGGGCAAAAGAGUCCCCAGUUCCUUAUCCUAGCAAACCACUUCCCUAUUUUACAACUGAAAAAUAUGGAUUUUAUUUUUUGCAACGUCUAACAUAGCAAAGAGAAAUUAACUAUACAUGACUCAAUAUUGCAUAUUAAUUUGCCUCAAGUCUACCCAGGGAUGUUGCUAGAUGUCCACAAGUGGUGGGGGAAAAUGUUCAUGUCUACCUGACCUGUUGUGUUUACUGAACAAGAGAUCACUUAUAGGUCGAGCAUAGGUGACUUACAGGAGGGCACUCUAGGGUCCACAUAGUUGUCUCUUAGCAGCCCAGCAGAACCAAUCAAGCUGUUCUGGUGGUAGCGCAUCAUGUUGUGGAGAGGCAGGUACUCUGGCUCAUCAUCAGGUAGUGGUUGAUUGGGCUGUGGUGGCCAGAGCUCCUUGUUCACCCCCAGCUCCAGGCCUGGCCUCUCAUACUGGGUCUGGGCAUGGAACAGCUUCCCCUGGGGGCUCACUGAGGUGAUCCCAAACCCUUCCCUGCUGUGGAUCCUGUUGAGCAUGUCGGUGAGGGACCAAGGGCUGCCGGACACCGAGGGGGAGGGGCUCUUCUCCAGGCUACGCAGGGCACUCUCAGGUCAUUGUGUCCUGGAGCCCCCAUCCCUCCUGGCCACAGUUCAUGAAGGCAGAGAUUAAGGGGUUAUGUGCAGCAGAGAGAGACGUGAUGUCAUCAGUCCUGGAUCCUGCUGCACCAUAAGAAUUCGCUGAGCUAGAGCUUGAGACGAUGACAUCAGCCUCAUCAUCUGACUCCACUGGUCUGGAUCCUACUGAAACAAUGAGGACAGUACAGAAAAGAACAGGGCCCGUAUUCAUAAAGUGUCUCAGAAAAGGAGUGCUGAUCUAGGAUCCAUGUAAUCGUAUUCAUCAUUAUUAAAUGGCAAACUGAUCCUAGAUCAGCACUCCAACUCUGAGACACUAUGAAUACAGGCUCAGAUGCUAGAACAGUAAGGAGAGAAGAUGCAUGGAGAUUCCUUCACCUUCUACUUUGACAAACUCUUUAAAAUGUCCUAAAAAUGAACUUUAGAGGACGGGUAUAGAAUGACUACGUAGAUAGCCUACUACAGUCUUUGGAUGGUCUCAAAAU
rnacentral:lncRNA from 1 species